rnacentral:rRNA from 1 species
AUGAUCAUGACCCUGCUCAAGUUCGGCCUCACUGCUGUCGCUGUAGCUGCUUCUAUGAGUCUCUAUAAUCUUCUUCGCCACCGGUUCAGUAACCCUCUCGGUUUUGUUCUCUCCUCUUCUCUUGUGCUCUCUGACCCAGACAUUGAUCGAUGUGACUCUUGUGAUGCCAGCCAUCAAGCUUCUCGUGCUUUGGUUACUGCUAAUGCUUGGCUCCUAAUGUAUAGGCGAGAGGAAGAUACAGUUGUACCUAAGAUUAGUAGUUCGCAUAUCAAAAGUCACCAUUCAGUUAGCAUGCGCACUUUAGCUAGCUUCCAAUUCACUUGUAGGUCUGAGAGAAAAGAGAGUGCCCUACCUUCUAUCUAG